rnacentral:piRNA from 1 species
UCAGUCCUUGACUGAGAGCCUCGUUCUGCCC